rnacentral:rRNA from 1 species
CCUACGGGUGGCAGCAGUGGGGAAUAUUGGACAAUGGGCGAAAGCCUGAUCCAGCCAUGCCGCGUGUGUGAAGAAGGCCUUCGGGUUGUAAAGCACUUUCAGUGGGGAAGAAAGCCUUGGGGCUAAUACCCUCGAGGAAGGACAUCACCCACAGAAGAAGCACCGGCUAACUCCGUGCCAGCAGCCGCGGUAAUACGGAGGGUGCGAGCGUUAAUCGGAAUUACUGGGCGUAAAGCGCGCGUAGGCGGUCUGAUAAGCCGGUUGUGAAAGCCCCGGGCUCAACCUGGGAACGGCAUCCGGAACUGUCAGGCUAGAGUGCAGGAGAGGAAGGUAGAAUUCCCGGUGUAGCGGUGAAAUGCGUAGAGAUCGGGAGGAAGACCAGUGGCGAAGGCGGCCUUCUGGACUGACACUGACGCUGAGGUGCGAAAGCGUGGGUAGCAAACAGGAUUAGAUACCCGAGUAGUC